UUAGUGUGCGCCGCGGGUGCUGGGGGCUCGAGAACCGAGCGGAGCUGGUUGAGCCUUCAAAGUCCUAAAACGCGCGGCCGUGGGUUCGGGGUUUAUUGAUUGAAUUCCGCCGGCGCGGGAGCCUCUGCAGAGAGAGAGCGCGAGAGAUGGAGAUGGGCAGACGGAUUCAUUUAGAGCUGCGGAACAGGACGCCCUCUGAUGUGAAAGAACUUGUCCUGGACAACAGUCGGUCGAAUGAAGGCAAACUCGAAGGCCUCACAGAUGAAUUUGAAGAACUGGAAUUCUUAAGUACAAUCAACGUAGGCCUCACCUCAAUCGCAAACUUACCAAAGUUAAACAAACUUAAGAAGCUUGAACUAAGCGAUAACAGAGUCUCAGGGGGCCUGGAAGUAUUGGCAGAAAAGUGUCCGAACCUCACGCAUCUAAAUUUAAGUGGCAACAAAAUUAAAGACCUCAGCACAAUAGAGCCACUGGUAAGUCAUUCGGACCCUCCCCUCCCUGCAGGGGUAGGAGGUGGGAGGAAUUGGCAUCAGCAAAUACUACUUUUGCAUUUGUCCUUUUCCCACUUAAUUUUUUGACUCUCAUGAUGUGCUAUGAGAUAGAAUUGAGCUAUUGUUUCUGCUGAGUCCAUAGAGAAACUGAGGCCCAGAGAAGUUAAAUACCUUGACCAAGGUCACAGACAGAAUGGGCAGCUAUUGUACGGGUA
rnacentral:sRNA from 1 species